rnacentral:lncRNA from 1 species
UAAAAUAUAAUAAAUUUUUUUGGACUUGGGUCUCUCUCAUUUGAGCCCACAAAACCAUGAAAUUCAGUCUAUAAAUACCAAGGCUUCACUUGAGAAAAGAGAAGAGAAGCAAAAUACUCUGAGGUUUCCUUGGAACAAAACCCUGGACAAAACCUGAAGAGAAACCUGACAGAGAACUCAGAGCAGCCUCCAAACCCUGAAGG